rnacentral:rRNA from 1 species
GAUGAACGCUGGCGGCGUGCCUAAUACAUGCAAGUCGAGCGAACAGACGAGGAGCUUGCUCCUCUGACGUUAGCGGCGGACGGGUGAGUAACACGUGGAUAACCUACCUAUAAGACUGGGAUAACUUCGGGAAACCGGAGCUAAUACCGGAUAAUAUAUUGAACCGCAUGGUUCAAUAGUGAAAGACGGUUUUGCUGUCACUUAUAGAUGGAUCCGCGCCGUAUUAGCUAGUUGGUAAGGUAACGGCUUACCAAGGCAACGAUGCGUAGCCGACCUGAGAGGGUGAUCGGCCACACUGGAACUGAGACACGGUCCAGACUCCUACGGGAGGCAGCAGCAGGGAAUCUUCCGCAAUGGGCGAAAGCUUGACGGAGCAACGCCGCGUGAGUGAUGAAGGUCUUCGGAUCGUAAAACUCUGUUAUUAGGGAAGAACAAAUGUGUAAGUAACUAUGCACGUCUUGACGGUACCUAAUCAGAAAGCCACGGCUAACUACGUG